AACUCUUUUUUCCCUUCAAAACGCAUAAAUCUUUCCCCUUUUUAAACUAAAGUUUUUCCGGGGAGGGGAACAACUCAAGAGUCUACUAAUUUUUUUUUAUAGCCCACUUCGGGGGUUAA